GAACACUCGUAUAUUGGCGCAGGCGAGAGGAAAGUGGUGUAUUAUUGUCGUACAGGAAGGUGUGCAUCAGAGACCACGGGACAGGCAGGUGUCUGCUGAACAAGGGAGGCCUGGGGCAAGACACCGAGGCGAGACAGUGAGACAACAGCCGCCAUUUCUCACUCCCAACUCCCCUCCAGCCGGUACCUCCCAUCCCGUGACUCUCCAGCCGCCCCACCCCCUUUCUCUGUGGCCUCAGGGGCGGAGCAGCAUCAAGACCAAUAUUCUAAAACGCAGUGCUGUCUUCUACGCACUCGCGACUGUUUUCCAAGGCUACAGAGACGGACACCGUAUACUAAGCGACAAAAACACUCUUAUUUAGACUCUGGGCCUCACGUGUUGUUUUGGCUCCCCAAGACCGCCAUUUCACGGGUACGAAGCAGCAUAACAAGGCAGCUUCGAGUCACUGGGGAGGCAGAGGCGCGGUGUUCUGCCUGGCGCUGUCUUCUAUCUCUUCUGGAAGUACCAAGGUGCAGUACUUGUUAUCUUGUUGUUGUUUUCUUUACUCAUGUGGUUGUUUUCCUAUCGUGGAGGUAUUUCUUGGGAGAGGUCUGGUAAAGUUAU